rnacentral:tRNA from 1 species
GAUGGUAUAGCUCAGGGAUAAGAGUACAUUAUUAGCAUACAAGAGGUCCUGGGUUCAAUCCCCAGUACCUCCA